UGAAAUUGUAAACGGCACCAAAAUGCUCCUUGCCUGCAUGAUCUGAAACUGCAACACGGCACCAGACUCUCGUUGCCUGCAUGAGCUGAAACUGUAAAUGACACCAAAUCUACACCAAAUGCUCUUGGCCUGCAAGAGCAUAAACUGUGUACAACACAAAAAAAAUGUAUUUGAACUACGUUAUGACUUGAUCUCUUCUUUGGAGGGGUACUUAGGCACCUCGAACAUUCAACUUUGAAUUCAGUCACAUCAAAAUAAAAAUAAAAAAUAAGGUUUUAUUAAAGGCUCGACUAAUGAAAGUUAAUUUCAUUACAAAAAAAAAAAUACAAGUUUUCUUUUGUACAUAAAUUAAAUUACAGCUUAUUUUAAAAAAAAUACAGGUUGUAAAUAUACAUAUAUUUGUAUAUAAAUUUGCAAUUGCUUUGGCCCAGCACGGUGCACACCAUCAAUGAGUCAACCAGCAAUAAGCCCAACUCUCGUGGCCCAUCCUCACUCAACUCCAAGCUGGUCCAAAUCCUCUCCCAAAGCUUCCUUGUCUCCAGCUGUCUCUCUCAUUCUUUUCAACUAACCUAUCCACCUUAAACUCGUCUCUGCCACCGAAGGCUUUAAGAUCAGACACCAUGAAUCGAAGCAGUUGAGAUGGCGGUGCCAGUCUCCUUCGUCCUCAUUCCAACCAAACCCCACAUGCUACUUAUGGUGCGUACACUUGGAGCAACCUUACUGCCAACCCAGCCACAUGUCUCUCCUUCGUCUCAGGUCUUCACUCGCGAGCUCAUUAACCCCCUUUUCCAGCAUCGGCUAUCUCCGUUUGCGUGGCAUAGCCCGUCCUUGUCUCGUAGUCUGCCUAGCGAGCUCUGGACCUCACACCCAGCUACCUGUAUCGUCCUUCAAGCCCACAGAGGAACCCAGGAGGUACCUUUAACCCACUUGGACUUGCUGAUAAUCCUGAAGCUUUUGCUGAACUGAAAGAGUGAAGAUUGGUGCUGUUGACAGCGGCGAAGAAGCUUCGGAUGAGCUGUCAAUCCGUCUUUCCCCUUGCAGUGGUGUCUUCCUCCUUCGAUCCUAAACCUCUCAUCUUUCUUCUGUUUUAACUUUCAAUGCAUUGGAUUGAGUUUUUUUACUUAUUUCCACUCUAGGUUUAAAAAUUUCUUCUGUUUUAACUUUCAACGCAUUGGAUUAAGUUUUUACUUAUUUCCACUCUAGGUUUAAAAAUGGAAGAGAAGCUAAACGGCGCACUAUAGAGACAAAUUUGAGUGAUAUUUGUUGGUGACUUCUCUAAGGUUCUGGUAAUGCAAACUGGUUUUUCAUACAACUUGUUAGUUA